rnacentral:misc_RNA from 1 species
AACGCAUAUUGCGCCCUCUGGUAUUCCGGGGGGCAUGCCUGUCCGAGCGUCAUUACAACCUUCAAGCACGGCUUGUGUGUUGAGCGGUCUGUUCAGCAUGAACAGGGCUCGAAAUGCAGUGGCGACGGCGAGAUGUGCCCGAGUGUAUGGGGCUCUGUCACACGCUCUGGUGGCUCAGCUUGCAGUCCGCCCAAACUGUGUAUAUAUAUGCUCUGUAUAUAUAUACCAAAUCAAUCUGAUUGACCUCGGAUCAGGUAGGGACACCCGCUGAACUUAA